rnacentral:rRNA from 1 species
GAUGAACGCUGGCGGCGUGCCUAAUACAUGCAAGUAGAACGCUGAAGCUUGGUGCUUGCACCGAGCGGAGGAGUUGCGAACGGGUGAGUAACGCGUAGGUAACCUGCCUCUUAGCGGGGGAUAACUAUUGGAAACGAUAGCUAAUACCGCAUAAAAGUCGACAUUGCAUGAUGUUGACUUGAAAGGUGCAACUGCAUCACUAAGAGAUGGACCUGCGUUGUAUUAGCUAGUUGGUGAGGUAACGGCUCACCAAGGCGACGAUACAUAGCCGACCUGAGAGGGUGAUCGGCCACACUGGGACUGAGACACGGCCCAGACUCCUACGGGAGGCAGCAGUAGGGAAUCUUCGGCAAUGGACGGAAGUCUGACCGAGCAACGCCGCGUGAGUGAAGAAGGUUUUCGGAUCGUAAAGCUCUGUUGUAAGAGAAGAAACGAGUGUGAGAGUGGAAAG